GUUUUAUGAUGAUCUCCAUGCGUGUCAACUGAUCCCAGAAUGCCCUGAUGCUCUGAUCUCCCUGCUAGCGUUCUGCCAGCAGGUGUAGGCAGGGUGUCAGUGCUCUGGGGCCAUGAUCAUUACAUAACUGUGGCUGAAAAC